CGGGCCGGUGUGAGGGCCGCUCGGCAGGGCUGGUUCGUCGCCUUUCCCCGGAGGUGGCCGCCCGCAUCCCGCCUUCCGGGCGCCGGGUGCGGGGCCGAAGCGGCGAUGCGCGUCCUGGGAGCGUGGCUCGCGGCGGCGCUGGCGCUGGCGGGGCUCGCGGCGCUGCCCGGGCGCUCAGAAGGUGCCUGUGUCCAUCAGGGUUCCUUGUUGGCGCUGAAGAUACCCUGUUAAACAGGUGCCAGCAUAAUCCGUGCAGCCAGAAAGAUUGCAGCGAAUGCUUCAGUCUGCGCUGAGCAGGAGUGACUCGACGUGACAUCAUUGCACUCUUCCAUGCUCGGCCCUCCACCAGGAAGUGUUCUUAAAAAUCACAGUCAUAAAAGCAAUGUGGUAUCUGUAAAUAAAGAAAUGCGUGAAACCUGUCCAGUUGCCUGGAGAGAUCUUUAUUUUGUGUUUAAAAAUGUUGAAACUUUUCCAAUACAAGAGAUUCUACGCUCACGUACAGUGGUUAGAUCCUGCUUGGUCAGGUUUCAUUCAAACAGUGGAAGCCUCGUUGUAGGGGAAAAAUAAGACUAUUUCCAGAUGGCCUACUAUAUUGGUAGCUCUAAAAGUUUAUUUCUAAUUUGUUUAUUCGGAAGUUGGAGCAUCUUUUCCCACCAAAACAGUUAAUAAAAGCUGUUUGAUUUAUUUGCGGCUUGGUGGAAUCUCACUGUUGUUAUCUUGGUUCUGAUCUGGCUUUGCGUGACAAAUGCAAACGUGGACGUUCACCUCCAGUCCUCCCUUACCUUUUGUUCCAUCUCUCACCUGUUUCCUUUGUCUUCCUGCCACCGUGGGUCGCCGCGGUAACUCUCUCCUGACUGUGUGGUGUCUUUUCUGGAUUCUCUCCAGAGUGACCCGCGCACCAGAGGGCCGAGGAAAUGUGCUGAGUGGUCUGGCCGGACUCGCUGGGCUGAGAGCGGCCAGUGCCACCUGCUUCCCUGAGCAGGAGCUCCAUGGAGGGUGGGCUUCCUUGGGGACCCGCGAGUUCUCAGGGCCAAGGUAGAGUCCGAGGCACGGCAGUGACUUCAACUAAUAUUCCUGAGUGAACUUCUUUGGUCCAGGUUUAAGAUGGCUUUUCAAAAGAAGAAAAAGUCAAGGAAAAUUUGAACAACUUUUUUUUGGUGUCUGAACUGUGGAACACACUUCCUUAGAGACGUCUCAGACGUGAAUGCAUUUCCCAGGGACGGCGGAAGCACUUGCACAGAAGAAACAGCACGGAAAGCAACCCGGUUGCCAGUCCUCACCUGGGUCCUUGGGAGCUCAGCGGAGCUGGUGCCCAGCACCUGUCAGCCAGGCUGCGGCCGGAGAGCCCGCGGCUCGCGGCUCCUUGUGGACGCGCCACCUCACACUGAGCGGGCGGGCUCGGGCCCCGCGCUCCCUGGAUUCGCUCCUUACGCGUUCGCUGCGGUCGCUGGCACGCCGAGCCCGGGCUUCACGGCAUGACCCUGCAGAGCCGCCCGACCUCUCCGAGUUGGGGCGCCCGCGCUCCCGGGAUUCGCUCCUUACGCGUUGGCUGCGGUCGCCGGCACGCCGAGCCCGGGCUUCACGGCAUGACCCUGCAGAGCCGCCCGACCUCUCCGAGUUGGGGCGGCACGGGGCGCUCCCUGGAUUCGCUCCUUACGCGUUCGCUGCGGUCGCCGGCACGCCGAGCCCGGGCUUCACGGCAUGACCCUGCAGAGCCGCCCGACCUCUCCGAGUUGGGGGGGCACGGGGUGCUCCCGGGAUUCGCUCCUUACGCAAUGGCUGUGGACACUGGCACGCCGAGCCCGGGCUUCACGGCAUGACCCUGUAGAGCCGCCCGACCUCUCCGAGUUGGGGCGGCACGGGGCGCUCCCUGGAUUCGCUCCUUACGCGUUGGCUGUGGACACUGGCACGCCGAGCCCGGGCUUCACGGCAUGACCCUGCAGAGCUGCCCGACCUCUCCGAGUUGGGGGGGCACGGGGUGCUCCCUGGAUUCGCUCCUUACGCGUUGGCUGCGGUCGCCGGCACGCCGAGCCCGGGCUUCACGGCAUGACCCUGCAGAGCCGCCCGACCUCUCCGAGUUGGGGGGGCACGGGGGCCAUUUUCACAGGAGUGCUUUAACUCCAGCUAAAUAGGGCAGUUAGAGUAAAAACCGAGAGUCAGAGAAAACCCGAGGAGGCAAGGAGCGAGCGCAAGGCAAGUCUGAAGCGGGCGAGGGCGCUGCAAAGGCUACUGCCUGGAGGUCGAGGCUAGCGCAGCCGUGCCUGUCUGUCGCGCGUGGUCCCUGCGGAGCGAGCGCGCGCCGGCCCCGGCUCAGACACCGCGCAGAGGAAGCGGUGGCGUCGCUUCGUCUGAAGGACAGGAAAGCGCAGAAGCGGAAGGCCAAGCAGCGUUUUAUCCCUCAGACCAGCGAGCGCGUGUAGGUGUGGCGUCCCGUUCGUCGGGCAGCACAGCGCGUGGGAGCCGCGCGGCGAGUGUGAGGCUUCCCGGGCACGUCUGGGACAGCGUCCGCCCGCUCGCCCUGGGCACGGGCCAGGCGGGACGCAGCUCACUGACCCUGACAGACAGACUGCCUUCCUGCGCGCCCAUCACACACGGAAGGGCACAUGCCGUGUUGCCCGAAAUAAGACCCACCCAUACAACAAGCCCCAGCAGGGUGUCUAAGCACGUGCGCAGUAGAAGCCCUGCCCCAAAAUCAGCCCCAGUGGUGGGCGUGGCUAUGGAAAUCAGCCCUGGUGGUGGGCGUGG